AGCGAACGCUGGCGGCAGGCUUAACACAUGCAAGUCGAACGGGCACGUUCGGGUGUUAGCGGCGGACGGGUGAGUAACGCGUGGGAACGUGCCCUCUGGACCGGAAUAACUCAUGGAAACUUCAUCUAAUACCGGAUACGCCCUCUUGUGGAAAGGCCUGCUGCCGGAGGAUCGGCGCGUGUCUGCUUAGUUGUUUGGUGAGGUAACGGCACUCCAAGGAGACGAGCAGUAUCUGGUCUGGGAGGCUGAUACGCUGCGCUGGGACUGCGACACGGCCCAGACCGCUACGGGGCGGAGCGGUAUGGAGUAUUAGGGAAUGGGCGCUAGCGCGAUCACGCCAUGCCGGGUGAGUGAUGCAGGCCUUAGGGUUGUGCAGCUGUCUUUGACGGGACGAUAAUGACGGUAACGGAGGAAUAAGCCCCGGCUAACUUCGUG
rnacentral:rRNA from 1 species